GUGGGGAAUCUUGCGCAAUGGGCGAAAGCCUGACGCAGCCAUGCCGCGUGAAUGAUGAAGGUCUUAGGAUUGUAAAAUUCUUUCACCGGGGACGAUAAUGACGGUACCCGGAGAAGAAGCCCCGGCUAACUUCGUGCCAGCAGCCGCGGUAAUACGAAGGGGGCUAGCGUUGCUCGGAAUUACUGGGCGUAAAGGGAGCGUAGGCGGACUGUUUAGUCAGAGGUGAAAGCCCAGGGCUCAACCUUGGAAUUGCCUUUGAUACUGGCAGUCUUGAGUGCGGGAGAGGUGUGUGGAACUCCGAGUGUAGAGGUGAAAUUCGUAGAUAUUCGGAAGACCACCAGUGGCGAAGGCGACACACUGGCCCGUUACUGACGCUGAGGCUCGAAAGCGUGGGGAGCAAACAGGAUUAGAUACCCGAGUAGUCC
rnacentral:rRNA from 1 species